UAAAGCAGAGGGUCAUUGGUGUCAGUGAUGUUCACAGGCUGGACUCUGAUGCAGCUGUAAAAACCCCAUUUAGCUGUCAAAUAAUCAUAGAUUUAUAAAGUGUGUGUGCUUCUGUAAUCUUAUGUCACCGGAUAUUAGAUGAUCGCGAUAACGGCGAGGCGCAAACUAAGAGAAUUGCCACCCACCUGAUGACUGACACUGGAGCCCCUGCACCCCAUAAUAACCAUGAAGAGUUCAAUCUUCAUCUCAUGGACUCGCAAGAUUUCCUUCAUUCUCAAAGAGGAACUCCUCCUCUCAACCCCGACCCCGAACGCCUCCUCCUCCACCUCCCUCCACUGGGAGCCGGUCGCUGGGAAACAAGAUGGAAGUGGUGGGAAAGCUGUGAUGCAGAGAAGGAUGGGGUGUUAGACGAGUGGAGAGGGAAUGACACCGACGGAUGGAGAUGCAACGUGACAAAGAAACAGAGAAUGACAGAAAAAGAAAUAUGAGGAAGAGGAAAACUGAAAAAAAUGAGCACAAGAUCAGAGAGAGGUUAAUAGUUCAGGCUUGUUUACUUGAGUUCACAUUUCCCUCACUUCAAAAGGUCAUUUAGCACCAACAAACACCAUGUGCUUCAACAUGAGUUUCCUUCUUUGUCAUAUUUGCUUGCAUUUUAAAAUAUAAACAGUCUUAAUUAUGAGAUCCUGACAUGCAUACUCACUCCUGAUCCUAAUUAUUACACCAUUUUUCCAUAAUUAUGAGAUAAAGCAAAGGAAUUCAUUGUGGAUAGAAUUCAGAAGUAGCUUAAGAAUCCUCCAGAUUUUCAUAUUUCUUCAUUCUAAAAAAUCAAAGUGAUUCAGUGAAAGUUGUCAGGAUAUAUAAUUUAGUACGUAGCGAAAAGAAGCUGAUCAUUUUAUCAUCAUGCACAUGUACGCUGUCUAAAAAAUGACAUUAGAACACGAUACAGUACGUGUUACAUUCUGCAGUAAAAGAUGUGCCGGGUAUUUUGUUUUAAAUUUGGAUUUAGUUAGAUUACGUCUCUAAAAAAUAAUUUCAACAAAGCACAGCAAUGGUUUUGUCAUCAGUGUAUUAAGAGAGCAAUAAAAGUGAUUAAAUAUUACAAUAAAACUAGAAAAGCACUCAGAGA